rnacentral:rRNA from 1 species
UGGGGAAUAUUGGACAAUGGGCGAAAGCCUGAUCCAGCCAUGCCGCGUGUGUGAAGAAGGCCUUUUGGUUGUAAAGCACUUUAAGCGAGGAGGAGGCUACUAGUACUAAUACUACUGGAUAGUGGACGUUACUCGCAGAAUAAGCACCGGCUAACUCUGUGCCAGCAGCCGCGGUAAUACAGAGGGUGCGAGCGUUAAUCGGAUUUACUGGGCGUAAAGCGUGCGUAGGCGGCUAAGUGAGUCGGAUGUGAAAUCCCCGAGCUUAACUUGGGAAUUGGAUUCGAUACUGGUUAGCUAGAGUGUGGGAGAGGGUGGUAGAAUUCCAGGUGGGACGGUGAAAUGCGUAGGGAUCUGGGGGGAUACCGAUGGCGGAGGCAGCCCUCUGGCCUAACACUGGCGCUGAGGUACGAAAGCAUGGGGGGCAAACAGG